GGCUCAGCGGUUCAAUGGUAAAGCGCUUGUCUCGGAGACAGAGGGUUCUGAGUUCGAUCCCCAACAGGGUCG
rnacentral:tRNA from 1 species